AGCCCGGGCCGGGCCGCAUGGCGAGGCCGCUGCCUCCCGUGCUCCGCAGGGCCCUGUGCACGUUCUGUGUAACACACGUGUGCUAUAGAAGCAGACCAUCCUGGGCCUGCAGCCGGCAGGCUCCCCCUCUGGAAGACCCCCUGGAAACGGGACGUCUGCCGUCCUCUUGUCACCUCUGUCCCAGCCUGCCAGCCGCAGACGCUGCCCCCGACUUGCACCCUGAAUCAUAGCCCCAGUCACCCUCGCUUCGCUCCUGAGAGGAGGAUGCAGGACUCAGUGCUGGAAAUCAGCGUCCAGCUCCUCAGGCCGGCAUGCAACUUCCCCUGCCCCCCCACUGCAGACUGUCCCCGGGGGAGCAGCGGCUGUCCACUCCCUCCCUCCCGCCCAGCAAGGCCACCUCGUCAGGAGAAAUCCCACGAGAGGCAAAAGGCAGACACGUGGACUCGACUUGGGAGAGCAACCCUCCGGUCGUCCUGGAGCCUGGGCACUCGGACCCUGGCAGGGGACACUGCUGGCUGGCCGGUGCCCGGAGCUGCCAGCCUUGGGGGUCUCCCAGGGAGAGCCGCGCAUGUGUCCAUCACGCAGGCUAAGGAUGCAGGAGGGAGGAGGGUCUGCUCUGAAGCCAGGACUCUCUCUGCGCCCGGCCCCGGGGCAGCGCUGGUCUCUGCUGGCCCCACUCCGAGGGAGCGACCGGAAACAAAACCCAGUUUCAGCCCUGAGGGGCCAGCACUGCUGCUCCAGGGUCCUCAGGGAACAAACCUGCCAGGUGUCUCCACCUCCUGCUGGUCCAUCCUGGGCAUCAGCCCAGACCCAGGGCCAGCCUGGUCCUCAGACCGGCCGAGCUGGCCCCUGCUGUGGGCGCCUCCGACCUGCCGCGCUCCCCCCUGAGAGACCGAGUCGUCACAGACCCGAAGGCGACGCCCGCGUCUGGGGGAAGCUGGCGAGGAUGCCGGGUGGGGGGGGGGCCUCUCUUCACGGCCUCCGGGCCCACCCUCGUCUCUGAAGACAUCAGCCAGUCGUUAACCAAGCACGGCUACCAGCAAACGCCCGGCACCGCCAACCCUGAGGGUAGAAACAACGCACACUCGGGUGGGGCGGAAGCCAGCCCCUGGGGAGCCUCCGAGAGGGCGGUGUGCCCUGAGGGCCAAGGUCAGGACCAGCGGGCGGUGAGCCCGAGCGGGUCCAGGGUGGGGGCGGGGGAGCAACCCCCUUCCUCCUCCCGGACGGUUCUCGCCAAACAAGCCCCAUUUACCACAGGCCGGUUCAUGCUGGUUCCGACCCCAGGCUUGGCCCUGUGCCCACGUCCAGGGGCCUCGUGGCCUUGGUCCUCCAGCCGCUCACGUCACCCCAAGUGAGAAAGUCCCCUCUCUGAGUUUCCUCAACUGUAAAAUAAAAAAAGCUCUCGACAUA